GUAGGGUGCGAGCGUUAAUCGGAAUUACUGGGCGUAAAGGGUGUGCAGGCGGUUUUGCAAGAUGGAUGUGAAAGCCCCCGGCUUAACCUGGGAAAGCCAUACAUGACUGCAAGACUAGAGUGCGUCAGAGGGGGGUGGAAUUCCAAGUGUAGCAGUGAAAUGCGUAGAUAUUUGGAAGAACACCGAUGGCGAAGGCAGCCCCCUGGGACGCAACUGACGCUCAUACACGAAAGCGUGGGGAGCAA
rnacentral:rRNA from 1 species